CUUAUCACGAGUGAUGGAGGGAUGGGCCCUGUGAAGUCACGGCAACCGGCUGAAUAAGCUUCAGCGGCUGGUGCCAAAUCCCGCAGCGUAAGUUCGGUAUGACGCUGACAGAUAAGG
rnacentral:ncRNA from 1 species